CGAACGCUGGCGGCGUGCCUAACACAUGCAAGUUGAGCGACGAACCAGGGCUUGCCCUGGGGCAAAGCAGCGAACGGGUGAGUAACACGUGGGUAACCUACCCCGAUAACCGGGACAACCCGAGGAAACUCGGGCUAAUACCGGAUGUGCUCACUGGACUUCGGUUCAGUGCGUAAAGGAAGCUUCGGCCUCCGUAUCGGGAGGGGCCCGCGGCCCAUUAGUUUGUUGGUGAGGUAACGGCUCACCAAGACCGCGAUGGGUAGCUGGUCUGAGAGGACGAUCAGCCACACUGGGACUGAGACACGGCCCAGACUCCUACGGGAGGCAGCAGUGGGGAAUCUUGCGCAAUGCGCGAAAGCGUGACGCAGCAACGCCGCGUGGGGGAAGAAGGCCUUCGGGUUGUAAACCCCUUUCAGGAGGGACGAAGGUUCGGCGGUGAAUAGCCGUCCGGACUGACGGUACCUCCACAAGAAGCCCCGGCUAACUACGUG
rnacentral:rRNA from 1 species